ensembl:snRNA U6 U6 spliceosomal RNA
AUGCUCACUUCAGCAGCAUAUAUACUAAAAUUGAAAUGAUACAUAGAAGAUUAGCAUGGUCUCUGCACAAGGAUGAUAUGCUAACUCAUGAAACAUUCCAUAUUUUU